rnacentral:piRNA from 1 species
UGGGACCUGGAUUCCAAAGUUAUCGGA